rnacentral:rRNA from 1 species
GACGAACGCUGGCGGCGUGCCUAAUACAUGCAAGUAGAACGCUGAAGGAGGAGCUUGCUUCUCUGGAUGAGUUGCGAACGGGUGAGUAACGCGUAGGUAACCUGCCUGGUAGCGGGGGAUAACUAUUGGAAACGAUAGCUAAUACCGCAUAAGAGUGGAUGUUGCAUGACAUUUGCUUAAAAGGUGCACUUGCAUCACUACCAGAUGGACCUGCGUUGUAUUAGCUAGUUGGUGGGGUAACGGCUCACCAAGGCGACGAUACAUAGCCGACCUGAGAGGGUGAUCGGCCACACUGGGACUGAGACACGGCCCAGACUCCUACGGGAGGCAGCAGUAGGGAAUCUUCGGCAAUGGACGGAAGUCUGACCGAGCAACGCCGCGUGAGUGAAGAAGGUUUUCGGAUCGUAAAGCUCUGUUGUAAGAGAAGAACGAGUGUGAGAGUGGAAAGUUCACACUGUGACGGUAUCUUACCAGAAAGGGACGGCUAACUACGUGCCAGCAGCCGCGGUAAUACGUAGGUCCCGAGCGUUGUCCGGAUUUAUUGGGCGUAAAGCGAGCGCAGGCGGUUAGAUAAGUCUGAAGUUAAAGGCUGUGGCUUAACCAUAGUAGGCUUUGGAAACUGUUUAACUUGAGUGCAAGAGGGGAGAGUGGAAUUCCAUGUGUAGCGGUGAAAUGCGUAGAUAUAUGGAGGAGCACCGGUGGCGAAAGCGGCUCUCUGGCUUGUAACUGACGCUGAGGCUCGAAAGCGUGGGGAGCAAACAGG